UACGGGGGGGGCAAGCGUUGUUCGGAAUUACUGGGCGUAAAGGGCUCGUAGGCGGCCAACUAAGUCGGACGUGAAAUCCCCAGGCUCAACCUGGGAACUGCGUCCGAUACUGGAUGGCUUGAAUCCGGGAGAGGGAUGUGGAAUUCCAGGUGUAGCGGUGAAAUGCGUAGAUAUCUGGAGGAACACCGGUGGCGAAGGCGACAUCCUGGACCGGUAUUGACGCUGAGGCGCGAAAGCGUGGGGAGCAAACAGG
rnacentral:rRNA from 1 species